rnacentral:lncRNA from 1 species
GACAUUAAAAUAAUAUAACAACAUUUAUUUAAACAAAUCACAAAUAGCAUAGAAUUUCAGAGUUUACAUAACCAAAAGAUAUCAAAUGAAAUAACAUAAUAUGUUUUAAGAAACAUUUAUUUUUAAAUAGAUGCGACGCGCCCAUUCGACUCUCCACGCGCUUCCAAUAUCAAUUACCUGAAACUGUUGAAUAUGGGAUGAGCAUACAAGGUACACUCAGUGUGGAAACAUGCAAUAAUUGUCCAUGUUAAUAAAAUGGUAACACAUAUUGUCAUAACGUAACAUAAAUUCCAUACGCACUGUGGCAAUCCAAGGACUUUAAUGUCCCGGACCCUAUAUGUGGGCCCCUGGCGACAAUAUAAUGGUUGCAACCCUGUAACAUGAAAUCGCAUUGUGGCAUACCAAGGACGGUGAAGUCCUGGACCAAUUAUGCUGGCCCCUAGCGAUAAAUAUUUUUACAACACAUACGGUAAACACAUAAUAUUAAAAUGGACAAAUAUUAACCACGUGCAUGUACUGAAAUAAAUCCCACACCUGAAACUUGAGCUUUGAAAGUUAACUGCGAUAAUUUAAAGUUCACGUCCUAAUCGCGCCGCACCUAGUCAGAUAAAUUCAAAUAAUUAACAUAAGGGCCUAAUUGAACUUUUAGGAAAAAUAUAUAAACUAUAGGAUCAUUUAAAAAUAAUUGAUCUAAUAAAUUUAAGUAGUAAAAUAUAUUUUCUCAUGAAAAUUUGGAUUAAGAAAUGAUUUAAUAAUUUAAAUAAUAAGAUAUAAUUUCUUAUGAAAAUUUUGAUUAGUAAAAUAAUUUAAGGAUAAAUCCAACUUAAUUAAAAGAAAUAUGUAGCUCAAAAUAAUUAAAAUUAAACCCAAUUACUUAUGUGAAAGUGAGCCCAUAAGGUAAUUAAAAAUUAAACCCAAACUAUUUAAAAUAAAAUACAGACCCAUUAAAAUACCCCCUUUGGCCCAAGCCCACUCUUCCAACUCCCUAAUCUAACUUUCAUCCAACACACACAUACACACAACUCACGCACUUCACACGCAGCUCACCCUCUCUCCCUCUCCUCUUCUCUCCCUCGGUCUCCCCCUUCCGCCGCCACCAGGCGGCACGCCACCGCCCCGUCGGCCGGCGGUUCUGCCUCCUUUCCCUUCCCCCUUCUUCCUACCUCCUUCUCACCCUCACUUCUCGCCCUCUUCCUCCUCCCCUGCCCUUGUCCUCACCGCACCAGCCGCACCUGCGCCCCUCUUCUCCGGCGACCCCUGCCGCCACCGUCUCCUGCCCGGCGUCGCCUUCACCGUCUAUUUCUCUCCUGGC